rnacentral:lncRNA from 1 species
GUAGACGACGCCCUCCUCGACAGUGAGGCGCAUACGGUAACUUUAUGAAUCUUGUGAUCUGCCGACUCAGUCAUUCGGAGGUGCUCAUAGGAGUAGGGUUUACGCGUACGCUGCGUUAUAUUGGUAAUUCCUUAAAAAGAGCCAUGAGAGUUUAAAUAUUAUAUAUAUAUAUACAUAUAUAUACCUAUUUAUAAAAAGUGAAAAUUUCUCUGCCACCUUAUUUCUGUUCGGCAGGUUUCGGAAUCCGGUCAGCCUCGGCUCCGAAUCGGCCUGUCAGCGCAGUGAAGAGGAAAAAAAGGAAUAUAAAGUUUUCUAAGGUUCCUAAUGCAAAAUCUCCUAAUUAUUAACAAUACAUAUCAGAAUACAUUGAGAAUAACCAAAAUACAGGGACCUAGAUGCAAAGUGUUUGUCCUAUUUACUUUUCUUUUAUUCUUUAAAUUGGCUGAAAAUUGAUAAAUAUGUAGUAAUUCAUAGAAAAAUCUAAAAAUUACAAAACAAAUUUUGUUCAGCUCCAUAUAUGUAGAUUCAUGCACUAAACAAAAAAUAUCAUAAAUUUUAGUAUAUUUUGUGUAACAUCCUAAAAUUUCGCUCCUUUUUAAAUAGAUGAAAAUUAAUUUAAUUUUGUAUUUUUUUUGUGCUCAUGAAUAUAGGGAAAUAAUAUUUUUCAUUAAAAUAAAACUUAUCAUAGAAUCUAGCAACAUGGAUGUGCAUACAUGCUAGAGCAUUUAUACUUUUGUACUGUGUGAGUUGAGCAAAUUCAAAAUAUUAUCAAAAUGAUUUGAAACUGCUUUGAAAAGACUUUGAAAUAAAAAGAAACAAAAAGAAAACAAAACAAAAGGAAAAGGAAAAGUUCCCCAUCUGUUUUCUGGCCCGAAGGCCUGGUUUCUUCCCCCUCAGCCCACUCCCUCCACCCUCCCCGCAGCCCAGCAGCAGAGCUGUGGCCCAGUUCCUCCCCCGCACCGCAACGGCCC